rnacentral:rRNA from 1 species
UACGAAGGGUGCAAGCGUUAAUCGGAAUUACUGGGCGUAAAGGGUGCGUAGGCGGUUCGUUAAGUCUGACGUGAAAGCCCCGGGCUCAACCUGGGAAUUGCGUUGGAGACUGCAAGGCUUGAAUCUGGCAGAGGGGGGUAGAAUUCCACGUGUAGCAGUGAAAUGCGUAGAGAUGUGGAAGAACACCGGUGGCGAAGGCGGCCCGCUGGGCAGAGACUGACGCUGAGGCGCGACAGCGUGGGGAGCAAACAGG